AAGAAAGGCACUAUCGUUUAUUUUGCGUCCUAUCGUUUUUUUUUAAUAUUCUUUACUUUAAACUAAAUAAAGUAAAAAAUUUAUGUUUUCUGUUAAUUUAAUAUUUGAAUAAAUGAUUACUAAUAAAUAACAAUUUUGCUUAUAAUGUAUGAGUAUAAAAUUUUGGGUUAAGUAAGGCACUGUCGUUUAUUUUGCACCCAUCGUUUCUUUUUUAAUGUUAUUUACUUUAAACUAAUUAAACAAGUUCUAUUUUAAUUGAAUAUUUGAAUAAAUAAUUACUAAUAAUUAUUAUAUUUUGUUUAAAAUGUUUGAGUA
rnacentral:lncRNA from 1 species